CAGGAACGUGAGGAAGGUUUUAUGGUAAUGAACAAUGAUAACAGACAGCGGUGACUGUAUGUGAGGAACGCACUUGUAGGGAAUCGUGUGCACACCAGGUGGAGCUUAUCCCCCGUGCACCAGGCCUGUGAUAACUUCUUCUGAAUGCUACAUUGGUGUUAAGGAGUUUUAUUUUACGCGCUUUUCGGCGAAUUUCGGUGACAGUUAUUGGCCACCCAGAUGGGAGCUCACCUCUGAGCCCUGAUGGAUCUGCAGUUGACAGAUCUCCAGCCGGCACCGAGGGGUUCCCGGGGACAACCUCGGCCUCAGACCGUCAGGGGCUCAAGGCAAGAUCCCUGGGGUGAGUAAAGGCAUCAUUUAAAUUGUUUAUCUUGGGGUUAUUGACGAGGGGUACAAAUCCCCUCACAGUUACUGGUGAGGGGGUUGAAUCAUCCAACAGGGUUCACGUCCCUGGGUAAGCUCACUGUCUGGGGGUUCCGGUCCCUCAGGACUAUGGGGUUUGAGUUCCCUCCGAGGGGUUCCCCUGGGUCGAGAAACUUAAAGCACUGUUGCAGCUGACCAAGGAGACUAAAAACAAGCUCGUAACACAGGAACUAAAUCAUUGCUAUACCUGCUUUUGUGGUGGAGUUUGGUUAGAUACCCUGAAUUCUUUUUGGUCUUUGGGAGGGUGUGAGUGGGUUGUGUGUUGAUUUGAGUUUGCCAGCCUGUAAAAUCAACACUGGGACGCCUGUGAUAUAAAGCUCGUUUGCUGAAAGAGUGUUGGAACUUAACUCUCUGUUGGGGUUUCGAUUAUUGAUUUGUUUUCUGUGUGCGCGGCCGAAAUCGCAUUGGUGGACGCGCAGCGCCCUCUCGUGUCAGUGGGAGCGGGCGGGCAGGCGGGGGCACCCCCGGUUACAGCUCAGCUGCUCCCCCGCCGCCGUCUUGGCUCCGGGGAGAGGAAGAGGAGAGAGAAGAGGAGACGGAGGAGAGAAGAGAAAAGAGACCAACUGCUGUGACUCGCAGCACAGCAGGCCGGCCCCGGCCCGGCAGGUUCUCGCCUGCUCCAGCGCCAGCCGCCUGGGCAGCGUCACCCCCCUGCUGCAGCCCAGAAGCAGCCGCAGGGACUCCCCGCGCCCAGUUCGCUCAUUUCAGCCCGGGGAUCACAUACACGUCCAGACCUGGAAAUCUGAGCCACUUCAGGAGCAGUGGAAAGGACCUGGUUCUGCUGACUACAAGAACAGCUGUGAAAGUAAAAGGAACUAACUCCUGGAUACAUUGCACCUGAAUUCAGAGGACUCCUGACACCGGACCCUUGCAGCUGAAAAGACAUCUGUAAAUGAGCAGUGAAAUGUAUGGACUAAUUAUGGGAAUUAGGUGGAAGUGUUGAAGAAAAUUUAAUAUUGACUUUAAUCCAAGGGUUUGGUAAGAUGCACAAUUUGUCCAGCAUUACAGCCUGCCUCUUUGUCCCUAAUUCAGCAGGGGAACCUAUUUCUUGGGGAAUUAUCCCUAUAUAUCUGUCAAUGGUGAUUCAGUAUGGUAAUCUGACGUUGCAAACCAGAAUGGCCUUAGCUCUAUUGCUGGGCAAAGAACAAGGGGGUUGUGGGUAUUUAAAAUUGGACAGAGAACAUAGUUGUGUACACAUCCCAAAUGUAACAGAAGAUCUCCAAAGACCACAAAAUGUGGCCAGUUGCUGAGAAUAGCAAUGCUAUCCUGAAACUAAUUGGUUCAAUGAAAUUCUUCAAGGAAUAGGGUGAUGGUCCCUGAAAGGAAGGCUGGCUGGAAUACUGGAAACCAUCGUAACUGUGAUUGUAGUUGUUAUAAUUAUCAGCAUUGCUACUGAUUGUGUUUGCAAAAUGGUCAGUCAAUCUUGUGGGAAUAUAGGUGACUAUAGAUAGAAAUCGAGUUGGAACUUACCAAAUGGCCUUAAGGAAUUUGAGAUGUUUCAAAGGGGGGAAAUGACACUAAAAGGGUUAAUCGAGUUUCUGCUGUGUGUUUGUACUUUUAGCAAAGAAAAAGGCUACGCAGGAGCUGCUUUCUCAGCAAGGACAUACUGAAUUCCUAAAACAUCUGGCUUAGGAAUGCACCUACAGCCAAAACAAGGCUGUAAAAAAAGCUGAACCUGGGAGCAUGGGGAUGGUUUAAUGGUAAUGGGCACUUAUAAUAUGCAUGUGGUGACUGUAUAUAAGCAAUGCACUUGUAGUGAAUCGUGCACACGUUAGGUGGAGCUUAUCCUGUAAUAAAUGAUCCCCCUUCUUAACACUA